UGUUGUUCUGAGCUAAUCUGGUGUUCGUAUUACCACCAGAAAUAUCUAUCACCUCUCCCAAGUGACUUACUAUUGUACGAGUAAAAAACGUCUUGACUCAGCCACACCCAAUGCGACCACACAGUCUGAUGAGCUGUAAAAGUCUUUUACAGGCUCAAUGAGCCAACGAAUGUUGAGCGUGAUGAAUUGAAAAUACAGCAGAGAAUGGAACAUUACUCUACCUGAAAAUGGAUGUCGCAACUCGAGAUUGGUGGAGGAAAGCAGUUACAGUCUCAUUGUCCACUAGUAAACACAGAGUCAAGUUUACUCAUUAGCAUACUUUUAAUAAAAAUCAGUUAUUCAUCAACAGAAUAAUCACUGUCAUGAAUCGUGAGCUUGAUUGAUUACCUUGUGUUUGUCCCACGGGACGAUGAUAUCUUACAAGCUAAGAUUAUCUUCACUUGCAGCAAACAAAUCAGCAGACAAACACUUCAUUCUUC
rnacentral:lncRNA from 1 species